GGUAAGUUUGGCUACAAGUAUUCCCGAUCUAGUUAAACUAUCGCAACCUUUUUAAACUUGCUGAGUUUCGUCGUGAACGAGGUGAAAGAAGAGCCUCGCCAUGGAACUGGAAACACUUAUGUAUGCGCAAAAGGCGCGGAUACGAGGUCACCGGCAAAUUUAGCCACUUUUGCGAGUUUUCCAUGUGACGUGAGGAGAUUUGAAUCGUGAACAGGAGUGGAAUUCACAAUUUUCAUGGAACGAUACAGUGCAAAUAUCGAUUGAACAGAGUGAGUAUUCCAGUGGACCAAUAUACCGAUGAGGUUGACCCAACAGACCACCAUCUUCUACCCACAAUAAUCGACCAUAAGCUAUAUUAAAAUCUGAUAAUAUCAGGGUUUCGUGACCUCCUCACGAAUGAAGGCAUAAGAUACGCCCGACAAUGGCCGCCGUCGACUUCGAGGAAAGUUCGGCGAUGCCGAAGGAGGACGAAGGAAAAACAGAAAGAGGAAGAAGAAGGGAAACUUAGGAAACAAGGGGACAGAGGGUAAAAAGAGG